rnacentral:rRNA from 1 species
CACGUAGGGGGCAAGCGUUGUCCGGAUUUAUUGGGCGUAAAGAGCUCGUAGGCGGCUUUGUAAGUCGGGUGUGAAACCUCCAGGCUCAACCUGGAGACGCCACCCGAUACUGCUGUGGCUAGAGUCCGGUAGGGGAGCGUGGAAUUCCUGGUGUAGCGGUGAAAUGCGCAGAUAUCAGGAGGAACACCAAUGGCGAAGGCAGCACUCUGGGACGUGACUGACGCUGAGACGCGAAAGCGUGGGGAGCAAACAGG